rnacentral:rRNA from 1 species
GACGAACGCUGGCGGCGUGCUUAACACAUGCAAGUCGAACGGAGAUCUAGAGGAAGCUUGCGAAUCUAGAUCUUAGUGGCGGACGGGUGAGUAACGCGUGGGUAACCAACCCAUAACACUGGGACAACCCUGGGAAACUGGGGCUAAUACCGGAUAACUUCUUAGGAAGGCAUCUUCUAAAGAAGGAAGGCGGCCUCUUGAAAAAGCUGCUGGUUAUGGACGGGCCCGCGUCUGAUUAGCUAGUUGGUAGGGUAACGGCCUACCAAGGCGACGAUCAGUAGCCGGCCUGAGAGGGUGGCCGGCCACACUGGGACUGAGACACGGCCCAGACUCCUACGGGAGGCAGCAGUGGGGAAUAUUGCGCAAUGGGCGAAAGCCUGACGCAGCAACGCCGCGUGAGUGAGGAAGGCCUUCGGGUUGUUAAGACGUCUGUCUUCCUGGUACGAAGGCUUAAGGGUUAAGUAAGUCCCAAAACGAACUAGACGGUACAGGAAGAGGAAGGACCCGGCCGUAACUACGUAGCCAGCAGCCGCGGUAACG